CUGCGAAUGGCUCAUUAAAACAGUUAUAGUUUACUUUGAUGGUCGACAGUUAUAUGGAUAACUGCGGUAAUUCUGGAGCUAAUACAUGCGAACAAACCCGACUUCUCGGARGGGUCGUAUUUAUUAGAUACAUAACCAAUGCCCUCCGGGGUUUUUGGAUGAUUCAUAAUAAACSAAUGKAGCGCGUUGCUUGUGCUGGCGCUWACUCAUUCNAGUGUCUGACCUAUCAACUUUCGACGGUNGUGUAUUGGACUACCGUGGCGGUGACAGKUAACGGAGAAUUASGGUUCGAUUCCNGAGAGGGAUCCCGAGAAACGGMUACCCCAUCUAAAGAAGGCAGCAGGCGCGCAAAUUACCCCNUCCUGACACUGGGCGGUAGUGACAAAAAAUAACAAAGCANGCGCUUACNCUUUCUGCUGAUUGGAAUGAGUACANUUUAAAUCNNUUUUCNACNAUCCCUU
rnacentral:rRNA from 1 species